rnacentral:rRNA from 1 species
UACAGAGGUCUCAAGCGUUGUUCGGAUUCAUUGGGCGUAAAGGGUGCGUAGGUGGCGGGGUAAGUCAGGUGUGAAAUCUCGGAGCUCAACUCCGAAACUGCACUUGAUACUGCCUUGCUCGAGUACUGGAGAGGAGAUUGGAAUUUACGAUGUAGCAGUGAAAUGCGUAGAUAUCGUAAGGAAGACCAGUGGCGAAGGCGAAUCUCUGGACAGUUACUGACACUGAGGCACGAAGGCCAGGGGAGCAAACGGG